GCUGGGCAUGGUGGAGUGUGCCUGUUGUCCUAGCUACUUUGGGAGGCUGAGGCUGGAGGAUCACUUGAGCCAAGGAGUUCUGGGCUACCGUGUGCUAUGCCGAUUGGGUGCCUGCCCUAAGUUCGACAUUAAUAUAGUGACCCCCUGGGAACGGGGGACCACCAGGUUGCCUAUGGAGGGGUGAACCGGCCUAGGUCGGAAAUGGAGCAGGUCAAAACCUGUAGGUUCUGCCUUCAGGACAAGGAGGUUACCAGCUUCUUCAGCUGAGCAGGGAUAGAUAUAU
ensembl:misc_RNA Metazoa_SRP Metazoan signal recognition particle RNA